rnacentral:misc_RNA from 1 species
GGAUAUAGAAUUAAUAUAAUUAAAAAAAUUAUUCAACGUGUCAGGAUUGUAAGAUAGCAGCACACAUAGUUCUUUAAAAUUAGUAUUGAAACUAUAUCCAUUC